AUUACUUCUUGGCCUUUUGGCUAAGAUCAGGUGUAGUAUCUGUUCUUAUCAGUUCACUCUCUAAGGUGAGGUCAAUAUAUUAAAUGUAUGUUUCCAUCUGGGAGGUGAAAUGAGAGGUUGCUCUCUCCACACCAUGCUCGAUUCACCUGGUAGUGCAGUUCCUCAGGGAAGGGGAAGCGCA
ensembl:snRNA U2 U2 spliceosomal RNA